rnacentral:lncRNA from 1 species
UAAAUCGUAUAUCUUAAACACUAAAAACACAAAAAAAUGUAACCCCAAAACCCUAAACCGUAAAAACCUAGAGAAAACCCUUGACCAUAAGGAACCCUAGACAAUAAAAAACCCUAAGCCCUAAACCCUAGACCCUAUCCUAAAACCCUAAACACUAAACCUAAAACCAUAAGAAAGCCUAAACCUUAAACUUAUAAAACCCUAAAAAACCAUAACAUAAAAAACCC